rnacentral:lncRNA from 1 species
UCACAUUUCUAGCUAAAUUUAAUUUUAAAUAAAAUAAAUAAAGCGGAUAGUAUACUAUCUAUUUUUCAAAAAAAAAAAAGAAUUGAACUGAAUCGCUUCAUAGACUAGGUCAUGAUUGCAACGGUCGAAUCAACAGAUUUGAUUCGGUUUUUAAAUUAUUAAAUUUACUAAAAAUAGAGAGGAAUAAAAUAAUUUUCGAUUGUAAAUAUUUACUUUAUGUAUCAUAAUAAUUUAACCUAUAGCCAUAACUCAAACUUUCAAAAAUGCUACGUAGUUAAUUAUGAAAAAAAAAAAAAA